UUUUUUUUUUCCUAUUUCGUCGUUAUAUAUAAUUGUAAAAUUUGACAUGAUACUCUCUAUAUAAAGUGCUGCAACAAGGGCGGAGUCUCAUCAUUCUCCUGGUACUUGACACCCAAAGAAAUCGGGACUUUCUGGAUUUGUUGCAGACUAAAACCCGGAAAAAUCGGAAAUAUUUUCAAGGCAUGGCUGAAAAUCAGCAGAUUAGGAGUCUAAAAGAGUAUGUUGAUGAGGAGAUUCAGAGGAGGGAUGCCGCUCAAAGUGGAAUGGUUGAUGAAACAAGUCAAAUAAUGAAUGGUGCUUGCGCUGAAAGGUUGUCGCUGCAUCUAAUGUUCCUACAUCCGGAAAUAAAGGGUUGUUUCUUGAGUGUAGGGUGGACGAACUUUUUUUUGAUCAGCUAGGGUAGCUAAUGAAAAUUUUGUUGAGACUACAUCAUUUGGUCCUGAAGGGACAAAGGAUUGCUUCAGCACCUCUGCUGUUGUUGCCUUCUGUUUGGGAUUUAUUGUUGUUGUUUAUAUCCAGAUUCAUUCACUUCCUUGAUAAAAUCCUCCUGGAUUACAUAUCCUACUUUUAUGGAGUUUUUAACAUUUCUUGCAGUGUUGAAAAGUCAACAACUGAGUGUAUUUCAGAUGCUAUAGAUGGUCACCAUGCCUUAGCUACGUUGACAGUGGCUUGCUCUUCAAUUUGUACUCACGUGUCUCCUUGAAGCUGCUCAGCCCACUUACGAGAGGUAAGAUGCUUCAAUUGAUUGAAGAGCACCUCCGCCAAUAUCUCUGGACGAACUAUGGAAGUGCUACUGCUUCCUCACUCCAAAGAAAAUGUAGUGUCAGUUAUAAGAUCAACCCCUUUACUGAAUGCAUUAAGUAUAAAUCUGUAAUAUUUUUUGUAGUCCCAACUAAUUUGAUUGGUAUGCUGAUUGGUAUGCUCAUCAUACACAUUUGUAAGGAUAUGGUCCAUUUUGAACUCCAUAAAAAUUAAGUGAAAUAUAUAUU